CAUGCUUCCAUAGUAACAAAACAGAACAGCUGUUGACCAAGCAGUUUGAUCUUUACAGACAAAUAUGUCAUCGUUGAUACAACUUGAAAAACAACAGGUAGGUCUUUGAUGAUCAAGACCUCCUUGAAGGAUGGUAGAAUAUAUUAACAGUGGUCUUCAUCUAAGUAGAAAAGAACUGUCAGAAAAACUACCACAGUUAAGAGAAAAUUGCAUGAAACUGAAUGACAGAUUCAAGGUUUUCCUAAAUAGACUUAAAAUGCAAAGAACAACAAAGGUGGAGAUGAAGAGAGACACUAGUUUUGACAGUUGCUGGUACUUCAAGAAACUUUUCAGGAAGAAAACCCAACAGACCAGGUGGCGGAAGGCUGUGAAAUACAGACUGGCAAGCGAACAGGUCAAGGAAAAGAGAAACAGUGGAAAAAAUGCCUCUUUUCUGGGACUGCUUAGAAGGUUGAGCCCUUGGAGAAAACAGUAUGAGGGAGAAAAAGAUGAAGCUAAGGAACUGAUUGCUUUGGAUUUAUUAGGCAUACGUUGUGGCACAGAGUAGAACGGGAAAUGUGCAUAAUCUGAUACUGAGCACAUUCAUACAUAUAUUUUCUCUAAUUUUCCUGCUACAUGAAUAAAGGCUAUUUAUUUAUUCCUUA